AAUCCAUAGGUUAAUGAGGCGAACCGGGGGAACUGAAACAUCUAAGUACCCCGAGGAAAAGAAAUCAACCGAGAUUCCCCCAGUAGCGGCGAGCGAACGGGGAGGAGCCCAGAGCCUGAAUCAGCAUGUGUGUUAGUGGAAGCGUCUGGAAAGGCGCGCGAUACAGGGUGACAGCCCCGUACACAAAAGCGCAUGUGCUGUGAGCUCGAUGAGUAGGGCGGGACACGUGGUAUCCUGUCUGAAUAUGGGGGGACCAUCCUCCAAGGCUAAAUACUCCUGACUGACCGAUAGUGAACCAGUACCGUGAGGGAAAGGCGAAAAGAACCCCGGCGAGGGGAGUGAAAAAGAACCUGAAACCGUGUACGUACAAG
rnacentral:rRNA from 8 species